ensembl:lncRNA
GCGAGAGCUGAGAAACGCUCGCUUGGUCGGCGGCGACCGGGUUUCUGCGCCUCCUUCCUGCCCUGGCUGGAGGCACCCGACGGCAGCUUACUGCCUGCCUUGGUUUUUCCUUUUUCCUUCUCUUUUUUUUUUUUUAUUGUUUUUCCUUGCAGGAUGAGUAGCUGUCAGUGAGAGUGAGAACUAGCAUAAGCUCCGUUUUUAUUAUUAUUAUUUACUUGAGUGACGGCUUGUUGUUUUUUUUGCUGUUGUUUUUUUCCCACUAGUAUUGUUUUUCUUUGCAGGAUGAGUAGCUGUCAGUGAGAGUGAGAACUAGCAUAAGCUCCGUUUUUAUUAUUAUUAUUUACUUGAGUGACGGCUUGUUGUUUUUUUUGCUGUUGUUUUUUUAGAACUAGAGAAGUUAACGUGACUGUUGGGCUUAAGAAUAUCAUCCGCUGUUUCCCCUGUGUUUCUGGCGGAACAGAAAGUCGUCUGAGCUGCUGUGAGAUGACGCAAACCCUCACCUACCCUUUUUUUUUAUUAUUAUUAUUAUUAUUAUUUUCAGGAAGUGAGCUCAGUAAGAGCCUUUUGAGAGCUGGUUGCUUUGAUGAUGGGUCAGCCAUCUCCUCCCUCACCCCCCCAUUUUGUGCAGGCCCUGGCAUGCCCAAACCCUCUGAAAACCACUAAUCCUGCAAAAAGGCCGCUAGCUUUUAGCCAGCUCAGCUUCUUGACCCAGCUCACCGCUCCAGCCCGCGAGCACCGCGCCGGCAUGCUGCAGGACGUGGGACUGGGCAGGCUCAAUUGAGAUGGAGCUAAGCUGCCAUGAAACCACUUUCAGAAUUACUAAUUCUCAUCCAGGUUGCUUUCUCUUUUGCACUUUGGUCGCUUCGCUUCCAUCUGUAAGGAGAUGUAAGACUGCAGCUGAAGACCUGAAUGUAAAACUGCUAAAGUUUCAGAGGGGCACAGCUACUUGUCCUUCUCCGACUCUAUGUGUUUGGUCUAUAUUUUGUAAAACUUACUAUUGUUUUACCGGAAUUUGAUUGCAUGAAUCCAAGCAGUGAUUGAGGGGGGGGAAAAAAAUUAAUGGAGAUAACUUUUAUUCCUGCAAACUAAUAUAUGUGUAGCUAUCGUCAGUUAAAGUUCACAUGACCAACAUCUUACGUAUAAGUUUGUAGGCUUAUCUAUAAACAUGCAUGCAUGCAAUGCUUGCAACCCUUCCUGAAGGUCUAGAAAUGAUGUUGAGGAUAAUAGAAGUUGUAUUGAUUAUUAUUCCUCUGCUGUCCUGAGUCCAAGUGGGACUAAACAUGUUUUAAUACUUCUGUUCAACAUUCCAUGUGAUCACAGACGCAAGACAAGAAUAUUCUUUUCAGAAUUGCACUGCCUUACUGUUCUUCAAAAGAGAUUUUUAAAAUACAGCUUAAAAAAGAAUCUUCAUGGUGAGAUGCUCACUAGGUAUUCACUGUCCCUUUUGGCACCCACAGAGCCAGAAUAGCCAGAAUUAGAAGUCCUCCAAAACAAAGAUUUUCAAACUGGUGACUCUCAAGAGUAUUCUGCUUUGUUUGACUUCAGUCAUACAAAAAAAAAUGCAAAAUUAUAGAUCAUCUGUUGUAGCCGCACAGGCGUGAGCAUAGAGCUCGCUUCCACAUAGGCUUUCUGCUCUUUACGUAGAAACUUUGAUCAGGCAGAAUUGCUAAAUAGAUACCACUGUGGAAGUCCUGCUCUAUUGAGUGAUAAACAUAAAUUGAUUUAGCGGAAGCUUGUAAAUGCCUCACAUACUACAUCUGACAUGUAUUUGUCCACAGUAAGGGUCGUAUAAUGCUCUGUAAAGGAUCUCCUAUAUGUCAAAAGAAGCAUUAUCAUUGGUACCGUGGGAUUAGUUCAGAUAUUCCCUGUUCCAAUGCUAGUAAGCAAGAACAGACUUGAUAUCCCCAGAGAACUAAUUACUCAGACCAGCAGUGAAAAGACCAGAAAGAGAAAGUGUUACGGAGGAAGCAGCAGUGCGGUUUGAAGAAGCAAAUCAGCACGUGAACAAGGCUUUUC